CAGUGACAAAUGGUAAGGAAAGACGUUUAGGGAGAGGUUCUUGCUGAUUCCAUGUGUUCGUGCUUGCAAAACUCGAGAUGGUGAAGGCCCAAACGAGAAUAAAAACAUGUACUUUGGACCUCUGGGCUCCGUGUACAACAUUUGUAUGGGCGUAGGUGGCCAGGCCUUCCCUUCCGAGCACUCGGGGCAGCGGUGGGCAGCCUCUCAGGUCCCCGCAGGUCCCCGAACCAGUUUAAGCAACAAGGCGCCUUCCCCUUCAGCGGGCGGCACUUGGCUGAGCAGCUUCCCAGAGCUGCUUUCUAGCCGGGAUUGCAGACUGGGGAGUCGUGCCAAGACGGAAGAGGACAGUUACGAACGGCUUCUUUGAGGAGAUGAGGAAGAUGAGGUUCAGGACCUUGUCCCAGGUCGCUCCGAAGUUCAGUGGCGCAGAAGCCAGGCACACGCCAGCAGCCCAUCUCCAGAACCUUCCAGGCAGCCGCGGUUUGGUGUUUCUGUGUCUCUGACAGAGUGCUGGGUAAGGCUUGGAGCGCGGCUAAGGGGGGCCCAGGUGGGCUGCUGCAAGCCAGCGGGCCAGGCCGGGGGCGGCAUUGCAGAGGGGUCUGGGGACUGAGUAACCAAGAGGGGAAGCGUGUGUGGAGGUGCUCUGUGGGGAGGGGAGCCGCAGCGGCUGGGGAGGCAGACUUGGAAGCCAGGGAGAGCUGUGUGUAGGGGGAGGGGGGAGAUGCCCCUGCUGUGCUGGGGUCCCUGUGUUCGUGGAGGAGGGGGAUGCGGCUUCCCAGGGCAGUUUCUCCCUUCUAUCCGCCCACCCCCAGACCCUGAAUUCUCUGCCAGUGAGCCACCUCUUGAUUCCUCUAGAAGCCCUAGCUGUCAGCACCAGAGCUGCCCUCUGGGGCUUGGCCCCCUUUGCUGGGGUCUCCAGUGUGUUACAAGCCCCGCCUCUCACAGGCUCUCUGACCGCCAUACGCGGCCCACGGAACCUGGUCCGGGUGCUCUCCAGCGGGCUGCGUGGCUGCCCGAGCCUGUGUCUCCAGGUGAGGCUGGGAGAGAAGGCCAGGCCUUUCUCACCUCUCGAGGUUUAUGCUUUGUCCCACACCCGGACGGCACAGUUUUUAGAUGCACCCCCCCAUCUCCUCUCCUGAAGUCUGCACCCCUGCCUCCAACCGCCAUCGCGGGCCUUACCGUGAAGGCUCGGGGAAGGUAGGUGGGCGCCCCCAGGCUGAUGGCGUCUGCUUCUAGCCUUGGAGAAACAGUCACGGGAAUGGUCUGGGCCAUUCUGACGAAAGGGAAUUUGCCAGCAACAACCAGACCAGGAAAGGGGUGCGUGAAGCUGCGGGCAUCGCUUGAUACCUGGCAGGAGGCAGUGGGGACCUGUCUCUGCUUUGAAGAGUUGACCUGGCUCCCCGGGGCCUGUCCCAUGUAUUUGCGAGAUUUGAAGGUAUUGGGGAAGUCAGGAAACUGACUUCUGUCUUGCUUCUCGGAUUUAAAGGAAUAUUACAGUAAAAAUACAUAUAAUUGCAAUGUAA